GAUGAACGCUGGCGGCGUGCCUAAUACAUGCAAGUCGAGCGAACAGAUGAGGAGCUUGCUCCUCUGACGUUAGCGGCGGACGGGUGAGUAACACGUGGAUAACCUACCUAUAAGACUGGGAUAACUUCGGGAAACCGGAGCUAAUACCGGAUAAUAUAUUGAACCGCAUGGUUCAAUAGUGAAAGACGGUUUUGCUGUCACUUAUAGAUGGAUCCGCGCCGCAUUAGCUAGUUGGUAAGGUAACGGCUUACCAAGGCAACGAUGCGUAGCCGACCUGAGAGGGUGAUCGGCCACACUGGAACUGAGACACGGUCCAGACUCCUACGGGAGGCAGCAGUAGGGAAUCUUCCGCAAUGGGCGAAAGCCUGACGGAGCAACGCCGCGUGAGUGAUGAAGGUCUUCGGAUCGUAAAACUCUGUUAUUAGGGAAGAACAAAUGUGUAAGUAACUAUGCACGUCUUGACGGGACCUAAUCAGAAAGCCACGGCUAACUACGU
rnacentral:rRNA from 1 species